GACGAACGCUGGCGGCGUGCUUAACACAUGCAAGUCGAACGGAAAGGCCCUGCUUUUGUGGGGUGCUCGAGUGGCGAACGGGUGAGUAACACGUGAGUAACCUGCCCUUGACUUUGGGAUAACUUCAGGAAACUGGGGCUAAUACCGGAUAGGAGCUCCUGCUGCAUGGUGGGGGUUGGAAAGUUUCGGCGGGUGGGGAUGGACUCGCGGCUGAUCAGCUUGUUGGUGGGGUAGUGGCUUACCAAGGCUUUGACGGGUAGCCGGCCUGAGAGGGUGACCGGCCACAUUGGGACUGGGAGACGGCCCAGACUCCUACGGGCGGCAGCAGUGGGGAAUAUUGCACAAUGGGCGGAAGCCUGAUGCAGCAACGCCGCGUGCGGGAUGACGGCCUUCGGGUUGUAAACCGCUUUCGCCUGUGACGAAGCGUGAGUGACGGUAAUGGGUAAAGAAGCACCGGCUAACUACGUG
rnacentral:rRNA from 1 species